CCCUUAGAUGUCCUGGGCUGCACGCGUGCUACAAUGAUACGUGCAACGAGUUAAUCCUGCUCUGAAAGGAGUGGGUAAUCUUAUGAAUGCGUAUCGUGCUUGGGAUUGACCAUUGUAAUUAUUGGUCAUGAACGAGGAAUUCCUAGUAAGCACAAGUCAUCAGCUUGUGCUGAUUACGUCCCUGCCCUUUGUACACACCGCCCGUCGCUACUACCGAUUGAAUGGUUUAGUGAGGCCUUCUGACUGGCGCCGCUACUCUGGCAACAGAGCGGCGGAUGCCGGGAAGUUGGUCAAACUUGAUCAUUUAGAGGAAGUAAAAGUCGUAACA
rnacentral:rRNA from 1 species